AUGGAAGCAGAACUCACAACAUUAGACACUGCCACUGUUGAAGCAGAGUGGCUUCGUGAGCUCUUGAUGGACUUACCUAUGGUUGAAAAACCAAUACCCCCUAUCCUGAUGAACUGUGAUAAUCAAACUGUGAUCAUCAAGAUAAACGGUUCUAAGGACAAUAUAAAGUCCUCAAGGCAUGUGAAGAGGAGACUAAAAUCUGUCAGAAAAUUGAGGAACUCUGAAGUUAUUACGUUGGAUUGUAUCCAAACAUCGAAAAAUUUGGCAGAUCCCUUCACAAAGGGUCUAUCAUGCAAUGUGAUAGAUAAUGCAUCGAUGGAGAUGGGUCUGAGACCCACCACAUGA
rnacentral:rRNA from 1 species